GCCCCUGUAGUAUAGUGGAUGCUUAGGCCAUAAAGAAUACAAGGUUGCGGACCUUGAGACCCGAGUUCGAUUCUCGGCAGGGGCG
rnacentral:tRNA from 1 species